CCAAGACUCUCGACCCCUAUAUCUUGUGCAAUUCUUCACAACUCAACAUUGUAAUUAAUAGCCAAAGAUAAUGGUGAAAUCUUCUAUUUUGGGGUUGCUCGAUUGGGAUGGAGGACAAGUAGGAGGAUCCAUUCGUGCGUUUGGUAUGGGCGGAAUUGGAAAACAAAUUUGGCCAUUGAUAGUAUAUUGUGUCGAUUGCCUAGACCAAUCAUCUUCAAAAAGGAAAAAAGUCGUGAACAACAACUUGGUGAUUUUAAUGGCCACCAAAGGUCGUUGUUUAUCACUUAAAGUCAUGCUUCCUCCAUCAUACCUCGUAGCAGCAGCUGCCAUCCAAGGGUUCAAACUCAUGCUACUUAAUUUUACUUAUAUUUUUUCUUUUCAAUUAUGAGUUUUGAGAUUCGCUCAAUUUUAUUGAUAAAAUAGUUAAGAAUUUCUAUUGGUGUAGAAAUUUGUGGUUGAAAUAAAUGUUGGUUGAUGAGUUAAUUAGUGAUAAAGUCUUGGAUAAUUAAAGGGUGUAAUCUUGUCUUUGAUUCUUUGUAAAGUCCUACAUAUGGAGGCGGUGAAACUGUAAUUCUGACAGCAAGUCGGCCUCUAAAGCCUGCUAUUACAUGAGUCAUGAGAUGAUUUUUUGUUAUGUCCAUAAAUUUCCAAGUGCUAUAUCACUUCAUUCAGUGCUUCUUUUUCAUUUUACACCCA